rnacentral:rRNA from 1 species
GAUGAACGCUGGCGGCGUGCCUAAUACAUGCAAGUCGAGCGAACAGACGAGGAGCUUGCUCCUCUGACGUUAGCGGCGGACGGGUGAGUAACACGUGGAUAACCUACCUAUAAGACUGGGAUAACUUCGGGAAACCGGAGCUAAUACCGGAUAAUAUAUUGAACCGCAUGGUUCAAUAGUGAAAGACGGUUUUGCUGUCACUUAUAGAUGGAUCCGCGCCGCAUUAGCUAGUUGGUAAGGUAACGGCUUACCAAGGCGACGAUGCGUAGCCGACCUGAGAGGGUGAUCGGCCACACGGGAACUGAGACACGGUCCAGGCUCCUACGGGAGGCAGGAGUAGGGAAUCUGCCGGAAGGGGCGAAAGCCUGACGGAGCAACGCCGCGUGAGUGAUGAAGGUCUUCGGAUCGUAAAACUCUGUUAUUAGGGAAGAACAAAUGUGUAAGUAACUAUGCACGUCUUGACGGUACCUAAGCAGAAAGCCACGGCUAACUACGG